UUCUGACUCCCAAGGUCCCCUCUUACCCAUGGAAACGUGGCCUUGAGUUAAACUGCAUGGAGAACUCUGAACUAAACAGCUCGCAGCAGCAGUACAGGUUUAGGCAAAGAAGUCCUGUAGCUCUGCCUCUAGAGACUUGAAAAUGCAGGGAACUGCAGUGUAAUUUCAGGGAAAUAGUCACUGGAGCACAUGUUAUUUUCCUUUCUGGUUUGAUUCUAAAUGUUAAAGUUCUCAUAAAAAUAGAAGGAAAACUCUCCUUGGAAUGACUGUUCUGCCGAAGCCACCCUUGGCUGUUUGGAAUUUCCUCUGCCAUCUUAUUCUUGUUUUCCUUAUUUUUAGGUCUAUUUAGACAAGAACAGAUUUGUAUUCUUCUUUUCGUACUGCUUCCUUACCACCUGAAAUCCUCCUCUGCUCUUUACAGUUCCCACCACAACUGCGAGAAAUAUCCUGAACGGAGUGCUGUAACUUCAGGUGAAGAAAAGCAACAGAAGCAGAUGGGCUUGUAAACAGCAGAGAGCUGGCUGCCCCACAGAGGGCUGCGCAGAGCAGAGAGGAGCAGAACGGUGCACCCAGGGGACUGGCACAAGGGAAGUGAGAAGAGGAGCCCAGCGUUGACAGAGCCUGUCAGGGCCUGCAGGCUGGGUAACAACAAACCUCCCAGUGCCGCUAGCUGGCCCCAAGAAGAAGCGCAUGAACUGUUUCCUGAAGGGAUGCAGAUCCCUGGCUAUAUAAAUUCUGGUUUUCCCUGUCUUUUACUCGCCUUGUGUGUAAUAGAGCCCGGGAGUGCUGCAGACAGGCAGACCUGUUCCCCUCGAAGAGGUCUGGGGACUCCUCUCUCUCCUUCCCUUUCCUUUUGCGCUCGGGCAGGACCCUUUUUCCUGCCAUUUCUGGCUGCCCUUUGCUUACCAGGGAACCCUGGGGGAUUUGGUUGCUUAGCUUUAGAGCCAGGAAAUGAAUGAAGAAGGGCAGGAGAAGAAAGAAAACAGAAUAAGGAGGCUCACUUCCAUGGUUUAUUGGGUCCAGAGAGAUUUCUGUAAACCACAUGGUAUCAGGUGUAAAAGAAAUGAAAGACGAUAACCAAUGUGGAAGAAUGGAGCAGCCCAAACCUCCCACAGCCCAAUGCGUCUGCAGAAAUGUUGGCGAGGCUUAACCAGCAAUUUAUGGUGUACCUGCUGUCCGAGAGCAGCCCCUCCACCUCGUUCCUGUCAAGAAGAGGUCCUGAUUCAUGUCAUCUGUUUUUAUUUUCUCCAG
ensembl:lncRNA